GCCUGGAUAGCUCAGUUGGUUAGAGCGUGGUGAUGAUAAUGCCAAGGUUGCAGGUUCAGUCCCUGCAGGGAGCA